UAAAUGCAAGUCGAACGGAAAGGCCCUGCUUUUGUGGGGUGCUCGAGUGGCGAACGGGUGAGUAACACGUGAGUAACCUGCCCUUGACUUUGGGAUAACUUCAGGAAACUGGGGCUAAUACCGGAUAGGAGCUCCUGCUGCAUGGUGGGGGUUGGAAAGUUUCGGCGGUUGGGGAUGGACUCGCGGCUUAUCGGCUUGUUGGUGGGGUAGUGGCUUACCAAGGCUUUGACGGGUAGCCGGCCUGAGAGGGUGACCGGCCACAUUGGGACUGAGAUACGGCCCAGACUCCUACGGGAGGCAGCAGUGGGGAAUAUUGCACAAUGGGCGGAAGCCUGAUGCAGCAACGCCGCGUGCGGGAUGACGGCCUUCGGGUUGUAAACCGCUUUCGCCUGUGACGAAGCGUGAGUGACGGUAAUGGGUAAAGAAGCACCGGCUAACUACGUGCCAGCAGCCGCGGUGAUACGUAGGGUGCGAGCGUUGUCCGGAUUUAUUGGGCGUAAAGGGCUCGUAGGUGGUUGAUCGCGUCGGAAGUGUAAUCUUGGGGCUUAACCCUGAGCGUGCUUUCGAUACGGGUUGACUUGAGGAAGGUAGGGGAGAAUGGAAUUCCUGGUGGAGCGGUGGAAUGCGCAGAUAUCAGGAGGAACACCAGUGGCGAAGGCGGUUCUCUGGGCCUUUCCUGACGCUGAGGAGCGAAAGCGUGGGGAGCGAACAGGCUUAGAUACCCUGGUAGUCCACGCUGUAAACGGUGGGUACUAGGUGUGGGGUCCAUUCCACGGGUUCCGCGCCGUAGCUAACGCUUUAAGUACCCCGCCUGGGGAGUACGGCCGCAAGGCUAAAACUCAAAGGAAUUGACGGGGCCCCGCACAAGCGGCGGAGCAUGCGGAAUUAAUUCGAUGCACCGCGUAGAACCUUACCUGGGUUUGACAUGGAUCGGGAGUGCUCAAAGAUGGGUGUGCCUCUUUUGGGGGUC
rnacentral:rRNA from 1 species